rnacentral:rRNA from 1 species
CUUGGUCAUUUAGAGGAAGUAAAAGUCGUAACAAGGUCUCCGUAGGUGAACCUGCGGAGGGAUCAUUACCAGUGACCCCCGGCUUCGGCCGGGGAUGAUCAUAACCCUUUGCUGUCCGACUCUGUUGCCUCCGGGGCGACCCUGCCUCCGGGCGGGGGCCCCGGGUGGACACAUUCAAACUCUUGCGUAACUUUGCAGUCUGAGUAAAUUUAAUUAAUAAAUUAAAACUUUCAACAACGGAUCUCUUGGUUCUGGCAUCGAUGAAGAACGCAGCGAAAUGCGAUAAGUAAUGUGAAUUGCAGAAUUCAGUGAAUCAUCGAAUCUUUGAACGCACAUUGCGCCCCCUGGUAUUCCGGGGGGCAUGCCUGUUCGAGCGUCAUUUCACCACUCAAGCCUCGCUUGGUAUUGGGCGACGCGGUCCGCCGCGCGCCUCAAAUCGACCGGCUGGGUCUUCUGUCCCCUCAGCGUUGUGGAAACUAUUCGCUAAAGGGUGCCACGGGAGGUCACGCCGUAAAACAAGCCCAUUUCUAAGGUUGACCUCGGAUCAGGUAGGGAUACCCGCUGAACUUAAGCAUAUCAAUAAGCGGAGGA